AGAAAACCCUCACUAGGAUAUGGGGCAAAUUGAAUACGUCUCCGCCACAAUAGUGAAACCCACAAACACUAGUUACUCAUCUCGUAGGAUCGAAUCUACCCCAUUUGAUCUUCCAUUCCUUGUGGUUGAUUAUACUCACAGGGGCAUUCUCUUUCUCAAACCUGAACAACAGGUGGCACAGCUUCGAAAAAAUAAUGUAAUUGAUCACCUGAAAAUCUGUCUCUCCCUCACACUUGACAUCUUUGCUCCUUUCGCCGGCCGCCUUGCCACCGUCGAAAAUGAAGAUAAGACGACUUCUUUCUUCAUUGAUUGCAAUUGUGCCGGUGCCCAGUUUGUUCAUGCUGUUGCAGAUGGUGUUACUGUAGCUGACAUCCUUGAGCCUUCUUGUGUUCCCAGUAUUGUCCAUUCUUUUUUCUUAAUGAAUGGAGUUUACAAUUUUGAAGGCAUUU
rnacentral:misc_RNA from 1 species